CAAGCCUGAUCCAGCAAUGCCGCGUGCAGGAUGAAGGCCUUCGGGUUGUAAACUGCUUUUGUACGGAACGAAACGCCUCUCUCUAAUACAGGGGGGUGAUGACGGUACCGUAAGAAUAAGCCCCGGCUAACUACGUGCCAGCAGCCGCGGUAAUACGUAGGUGGCGAGCGUUGUCCGGAAUUACUGGGCGUAAAGGAUGCGUAGGUGGAUACUUAAGUGGGAUGUGAAAUCCCCGGGCUCAACCCGGGAACUGCAUUCCAAACUGGGUAUCUAGAGUGCAGGAGAGGAAAGCGGAAUUCCUAGUGUAGCGGUGAAAUGCGUAGAUAUUAGGAGGAACACCAGUGGCGAAGGCGGCUUUCUGGACUGUAACUGACACUGAGGCAUGAAAGCGUGGGUAGCAAACA
rnacentral:rRNA from 1 species